CACCGAAAAUUUAACGGGGCUCAAGUCAUGCGCCGAAGCUAUGGGAUCUGUAUUUAUACAGAUCGGUAGGGGAGCGUUCCCUAUGCAGUGAAGCUAGAUCGAAAGGGCUAGUGGAGCGUAGGGAAGUGAGGAUGUUGGCAUAAGUAACGAAAAUGCGAGCGAGAAACUCGCACGCCGAAAGCCCAAGGUUUCCCGGGCCAUGUUAUUCAGCCCGGGGUUAGUCGGCACCUAAGACGAGGCCGAAAGGCGUAGUCGAUGGAAAACCGGUUCAUAUUCCGGUACUUGCGUAUGCGCGUGAUGGAGGGACGCAGGAGGAUAGGCUGGCCAAGUGAUGGAUAUCUUGGUUCAAGACUGUAGGUGUAAGUCUCAGGCAAAUCCGAGACUUUUUAACGCUGAGAGUUGAUGACGAGAGGCUUUGCUUCGCAAAGCAGUCGAUUCCACACUGCCAAGAAAAGCUUCUAAGCAUAGCAUAAGCAAACCGUACCCCAAACCGACACAGGUGGGCGGGUAGAGAAUACCAAGGCGCUUGAGUGAAAUCAUGUUAAGGAACUCUGCAAAAUGACUCCGUAACUUCGGAAGAAGGAGUGCCUGCAUUGGUGAAAGGACUUGCUCCUGGAGCUGAGGCAGGCCGCAGUGACCAGGCCCAGCCGACUGUUUAGCAAAAACACAGCACUCUGCUAAAUCGUAAGAUGAUGUAUAGGGUGUGACGCCUGCCCGGUGCCGGAAGGUUAAUGGGAGAGGUUAGAUCUUCGGAUCGAAGCUUCGAACUGAAGCCCCGGUAAACGGCGGCCGUAACUAUAACGGUCCUAAGGUAGCGAAAUUCCUUGUCGGGUAAGUUCCGACCUGCACGAAUGGCGUAACGAUCUGGGCGCUGUCUCAAUGUGAUUCUCAGUGAAAUUGAAAUGGCGGUGAAGAUACCGUCAACCCGCGGCAAGACGGAAAGACCCCGUGCACCUUUACUGCAGCUUGGCAGUGAACCUGGGAAAGAUUUGUGUAGGAUAGGUGGGAGGCUAUGAAGGGGGGGCGCUAGCUCCUCUGGAGCCAUCCUUGAAAUACCACCCUGAUUUUUUCUGCGUUCUAACCUCGUCCCGUUAUCCGGGACAGGGACCCUGUCUGGUGGGCAGUUUGACUGGGGCGGUCGCCUCCUAAAGAGUAACGGAGGCGCGCAA
rnacentral:rRNA from 1 species